AGUAGUUUGAUCUUGGCUCAGGACGAACGCUGGCGGCGUGCUUAACACAUGCAAGUCGAACGAGCACCUUGAAAGAGUUUUCGGACAAUGGAGAGGAAUGCUUAGUGGCGGACUGGUGAGUAACGCGUGAGGAACCUGCCUUCCAGAGGGGGACAACAGUUGGAAACGACUGCUAAUACCGCAUGACACAUUUGAAUCGCAUGGUUUGAAUGUCAAAGAUUUAUCGCUGGAAGAUGGCCUCGCGUCUGAUUAGCUAGUAGGCGGGGUAACGGCCCACCUAGGCGACGAUCAGUAGCCGGACUGAGAGGUUGACCGGCCACAUUGGGACUGAGAUACGGCCCAGACUCCUACGGGAGGCAGCAGUGGGGAAUAUUGGGCAAUGGGCGCAAGCCUGACCCAGCAACGCCGCGUGAAGGAAGAAGGCUUUCGGGUUGCAAACUUCUUUUAAGAGGGAAGAGCAGAAGACGGUACCUCUUGAAUAAGCCACGGCUAACUACGUG
rnacentral:rRNA from 1 species